rnacentral:rRNA from 1 species
CCUACGUGAGGCAGCAGUGAGGAAUAUUGGUCAACGGGCGGGAGCCUGAACCAGCCAAGUCGCGUGAGGGAAGACGGUCCUAUGGAUUGUAAACCUCUUUAGGCGGGGAGCAAUGCCGGGCACGCGUGCCCGGAGGGAGAGUACCCGCAGAAUAAGCAUCGGCUAACUCCGUGCCAGCAGCAGCGGUAAUACGCAGGAUGCGAGCGUUAUCCGGCGUUAUUGGGUUUAAAGGGUGCGUAGGCGGAUUUUUAAGUCAGCGUUAAGAUGUCCGGGCUCCACCCGGGCCGGCCGUUGAAACUGGGGAUCUUGAGUGGGCGAGAAGUAUGCGGAAUGCGGGGUGUAGCGGUGAAAUGCAUAGAUAUCACGCAGAACUCCGAGUGCGAAGGCAGCAUACCGGCGCCCGACUGACGCUGAGGCACGAAAGCGUGGGGAUCGAACAGGAUUAGAGACCCUAGUAGUC